AGCAGCAGCCGCGGUAAUACGAAGGGGGCUAGCGUUGUUCGGAUUUACUGGGCGUAAAGCGCACGUAGGCGGAUUCUUAAGUCAGGGGUGAAAUCCCGAGGCUCAACCUCGGAACUGCCUUUGAUACUGGGGAUCUUGAGUUCGGGAGAGGUGAGUGGAAUUCCGAGUGUAGAGGUGAAAUUCGUAGAUAUUCGGAAGAACACCAGUGGCGAAGGCGGCUUACUGGCUCAUUCUAGACGCUGAGGUGCGAAAGCGUGGGGAGCAAACAGGAUUAGAUACCCCUGUAGUCCCUGUCUCUUAUAU
rnacentral:rRNA from 1 species